GGCAGAAGAAUCACGAGAUCAGGAGAUCAAGAUCAUCCUGGCCAACAUGUGCAGGCACUGAUGAACUUGGAAGACAAGUAAAGCAAUGGAUGGCUUCAAUAUCCUUGAGCCCAGCAAAAGAUAAUAAAGGGAACUGUUGGAAAUAGAGAAUUGAAAAUA